UACGGAGGGUGCAAGCGUUGUCCGGAAUCACUGGGCGUAAAGGGCGCGUAGGCGGCUCAUGAAGGCUGUGGUGAAAGUCCGGGGCUCAACCUCGGAUCGGCCGUGGCGACUCGUGGGCUGGAGCGCUGUAGAGGCGGGUGGAAUUCCGGGUGUAGCGGUGGAAUGCGUAGAGAUCCGGAAGAACACCAGUGGCGAAGGCGGCCCGCUGGGCAGUGGCUGACGCCGAGGCGCGACAGCGUGGGGAGCAAACAGG
rnacentral:rRNA from 1 species